UAAGGUGUGGCUGGUAGAGAAAUGGUGAAAUGAGAGGAAGAAAGGGUAAGGCUGCAGAAGACGCUGGCUUCGCCCCUGCCCCACGGAAACCUCAGAGAGCACAACAUUGCAACCUGCUGAACUCAAACUGGGAUGUAAUCCCUUUCCACCUCCCUCUGGACCACCAGCCCUGCUACUGCACUGGUGAAGGACACCAACUCCGGAACCAGACUGCCUGGGCUCAGUCCUGGCCCAGCCAUGUGCAACCUGAGUGACCCUGAGAGGCCCUGAGAGACCUCACUUUCCUCCUCUGCAAAACCGGAAUAAUAAUAGUACCUCCUUCAAAGGGCUGUGGUGAGAAGUGAGACCGUAUAUUACAUACCGAGUACUUAGCUCAGUGCUGGCAUGAGAUAAACACUCCACAAAUAUUAGCAAUUGUUCUUACUAGUUGUGAUUAUAUUGCUAUUCUUGCCCUGGUUAUUAUAUAUUCAUUUAUUUUAAAAUUACUGCCCUGCUUUCAAAACGGUGCAGAUAAUCAUAGAGUCUUACAUGUGGGAAAACACUCAGGUACAAAGUUAAAGUGUUCUCUUGACUUGUCCUCAAAAUAUAGUGCAGUACUUUUAAUGGUACUUGACAUUUUCUCCAAGACUUGACCAUAUAUUCUCUAACUUAAUUCCCAUGCCAACCUGGAAAAUCCUACUUUGCAGAUGAGAAAACCAAGUUUCAGAGACACCAAUAAUAUUACAAUAAUGUCUGAUAUCUAUUUUGUACUUUUUAAAUAUUAUACACUAUUUUAAGAAACUUAUACGUAUACUACCUUUUCAUUCUCAAAACAGCCCUAUGAGACUAAGAUUAUUGCUAUACCCAUUUUACAGGUGAGGAAACUGAGAUCCAGAGAGGUUAAGUAACCAUCAAGAUCACAGGGGGCAGAGAGAGAAUGCUGGCUUUCUAAUUCCCUAGUGUGUGGCUUGCACGCUACAGUUAGGUUUAGCAGGGGACAAAGAGAGACCAGACCCAGGGCCUUGCUAUGGUGGCAUAGUCACCACCCUGCCCAACACCCUCCUCCCACACCCUUUCCUCUGCGCUGGGUGAUCUCUGACUCUCCUCACUGUAACACUCCAUGAUUGUAAAUGAAUCUACAGACACCAUCCUUCCGCCAGCCCUGGAAAGAUCAGAGCACUGAUGCAGGUAGUUUUCCUAAAGGACAAAGAACAAAGCUGAAUAUUUUUCUAGCCACAUUAAAAAUGAUAUUCCU
rnacentral:lncRNA from 1 species